rnacentral:rRNA from 1 species
GACGAACGCUGGCGGCGUGCUUAACACAUGCAAGUCGAACGGUGAAGCGCCUUCCUUUUUGGUGGGUGUGGAUGAGUGGCGAACGGGUGAGUAACACGUGAGUAACCUGCCCCCUUCUUCUGGAUAACCGCAUGAAAGUGUGGCUAAUACGGGAUAUUCUGGGUCUGUCGCAUGAUGGGUCUGGGAAAGAUAUUGUUUCGGUGGGGGAUGGUCUCGCGGCCUAUCAGCUUGUUGGUGGGGUGAUGGCCUACCAAGGCGGUGACGGGUAGCCGGCCUGAGAGGGUGGACGGUCACACUGGGACUGAGACACGGCCCAGACUCCUACGGGAGGCAGCAGUGGGGAAUAGUGCACAAUGGGCGCAAGCCUGAUGCAGCGACGCCGCGUGAGGGAUGGAGGCCUUCGGGUUGUGAACCUCUUUCGCCAGUGAAGCAGGCCUGCCUCGUUUGUGGGUGGGUUGACGGUAGCUGGAGAAGAAGCGCCGGCUAACUACGUG